rnacentral:lncRNA from 1 species
UUUUUUGUUUUGAAACACACACACACACACACACAAUUACCCUCCCUCACACGCACACACCCCCUGCGCACGCACACGUCUUUCCGGAAUUCCUUUUUUCUCAAGCCCUGCCUUGGGAUGGCUCGUUAAAGGGUUGUCACUGAACCCCAAACGCCGUCUGUGUCCAACUCCCCAGCGUCAAGACUCGAUCUUCUUAACUUCUUGAGGGCCGGUGGCAGUAUUUGGUAUUUCGGAUGACCGAUGUGCCCAAAGUAAACUGUCUUUUACUCAGGCCCAGAAGGUUGAGAAGGUGGAGAAUAGCACUCCGAAGCAUCUCUUUGAGCUAAAGAAGAGACAGUUGCAGUCUGCCUCUUCACAACGAAUGUACCAGCGCAAUACUGUGACCUGGUUAGCCGAGUGGGCUUCCAGAGGGAGUUUGCACCACCUGACGAGAAAAAUCAUGGAGAGGGGAUCUACUUCAGUAGCAGCAUGCAUGGGACAGAGAAGCUGUGGAGGGGCUUGGCUGAUGAAGAGUACCUGUACUUCGUUGCAGCGCAGGUGCUGACAGGGAAGUCAUUGGCACACCAGGUCUUAUUGUGCCACCGCAGACCCCCGUUGGAGACCCCCUAACCCUGUAUGACAGCGUGGAAGGGGGCGUAGACACCUGUGUCAUUUUCAAUGGUCACCAAGCCCUACCUGAAUAUCUGAUCAGCUGCACAAAAACAACUUCAACCCAUAAGUUCUGAUAACGAUGAAGUCCUAUGAAAUAUAGAUCUUAAUUUCAUUCAGUGAUUGUCUACUCUAUAGUCUAUGCAGAAAAACUGGAUUUGAUACACCAAUAUAGGAAAUUCUGACAAUUGCAUCACAUGUAUAUUGUUUUUUGAUUUGCCAUGGUUUAGUUUAAUUAUUUGCCUCCGUAUUAGCACUACGGCUUCAGUUUGCAGCCAACUAAAUUUUAUUGCAGUUUGAAUGGGUAUGUUAUGAAUUUAGCAGUGGGUUUGCAUGUAUACUGAACAAAAAUAUAAACACAACAAUUUCAAGGAUUUGACUGAGUUACAGUUCAUAUAAGGAAAUCAGUCAAUUGAAAUAAAUUAAUUAGGCCCGAAUCAUCUACAGAUUUCACAUGACUGGGAAUACAGAUAUGCAUAUGUUGGUCACAGAUACCUUAAAGUAUGGGGAUGGAUCAGAAAACCAGUCAGUAUCUGCUGUGACCAUCAUCUGCCUCAUGCAGCGUGACACAUCUGCUUUGUAUAGAGUUGAUUGUGGAAUGUUGUCCCACUCCUCUUCAAUGACAUGUUCCCCCACACAACAGCUAGCAACCGCAAACUAUGUGAUACAGGUUGGAAAGUCGACACACUUUCUGUACAGAUGAAGCCAAUGCUUCUAUGCAAAAGAGGUUUUGACAUUUAAAUCCAGUCAUUGUAUAUACAGUGCAUUCGGAAAGUAUUCAGACCCCUUGACUUUUUCCACAUUUUGUUACAUUACAGCCUUAUUCUAAAAUUGAUUGAAUUGUUUUUCCCAUCAAUCUACACACAAUAACCCAUAAUGACCUGAAGUAUCACGUUUACAUAAGUAUUCAGACCCUUUACUUUGUUGAAGCACCUUAUUGCAGCGAUUUACAGCCUCGAGUCUUCUUUGGUAUAACACUUCAAGCUUGGCCCGGUUGUAUUUGGGGAGUUUCUCCCAUUCUUCUCUGCAGAUUCUCAAGCUCUGUCAAGUUGGAUAGGGAGCGUCACUGCACAGCUAUUUUACUGUCUCUCCAGAGAUGUUUGAUCUGGUUCAAGUCUGGGCUCUGGCUGGGCUACUCAAAGACAUUCAGAAACUUAUCCCGAAUCCACUCAUGCGUUGUCUUGGCGGUGUGCUUAGUGUGAGGUCCUGUGAGCUCUGGAGCAGGUUUUCAUCAAGGAUCUCGCUCUACUUUGCUCCGUUCAGCCUGACUAGUCUCCCAGUCCCUGUUGCUGAAAAACAUCCCCACAGCAUAAUGCUGCCACCACCAUGCUUCCCCGUAGGGAUGGUGCCUGGUUUCCUCCAG